rnacentral:lncRNA from 1 species
CUCUAAGACAAACAAUUUAUAAAUUUUAUUAGCCUUCAACUUGAAGAAAAAUUAAAGUGAAUAAAAAGAGACUCCCAGUUGACGUCUGGGUCAUGAUUUAGAUUAGUUCACAGGCCAAAUCUAUACAGUUUGGAUUGAUCUAAAUUCGAUUGGAUUGCGAUUCAAUCCACUAAUUGGAUUCACUAAAAAGGUUGAAUUCCUUUCCUUUCCCUCUCUCUUCCUCUCUCUUUCUUUCUUUCUUUUCUCUCUCUAUUUCUCUCUUUCUCUCUUUUUCUGUCUUUGUUUCUCUCUUUCUCUCUCUCUCUCUCUUCCGUAGCUGAACUAGUGACAAAGCUUCUAUAGGAGAGUGUAGAGUGGAGGGGUGGAAUCAGCAGUGGUGGCACGACGAUGGCUAGAGGCAGCGGUUCGAUCGAUGGCAAUAGGAUAUCCAAGAGUAAAGAAAAAAAGAUACUCUCUCUCAUGCCAUAGUUGCAUCAUUCAGGCCAAGAAGAAAAAAAAGAGGACGGCUUACUGAAGAUGGUGGUGGCAGCGAGGCUCGGCUGGAUGCUGCAAAUUCUGGUGGGUAUAACACCCAAAAGUUUUCGGAAUAAAGGAGAUAGAGAAGAUCAUAGAGGAAGGAGAGUUUUUUGAGAGAUGAUAGCUUGAUUGCGGUAGUUUGGC